AGUAACGCGUGGGAACGUACCCAGAUCUAAGGAAUAGCCACUGGAAACGGUGAGUAAUACCUUAUACGCCCUUCGGGGGAAAGAUUUAUCGGAUUUGGAUCGGCCCGCGUUAGAUUAGGUAGUUGGUGGGGUAAUGGCCUACCAAGCCUACGAUCUAUAGCUGGUUUUAGAGGAUGAUCAGCAACACUGGGACUGAGACACGGCCCAGACUCCUACGGGAGGCAGCAGUGGGGAAUCUUAGACAAUGGGCGCAAGCCUGAUCUAGCCAUGCCGCGUGAGUGAUGAAGGCCUUAGGGUCGUAAAGCUCUUUCGCCUGUGAUGAUAAUGACAGUAGCAGGUAAAGAAACCCCGGCUAACUCCGUGCCAGCAGCCGCGGUAAUACGGAGGGGGUUAGCGUUGUUCGGAAUUACUGGGCGUAAAGCGCACGUAGGCGGAUUAGAAAGUUAGGGGUGAAAUCCCGGGGCUCAACCUCGGAACUGCCUCUAAAACUCCUAGUCUAGAGUUCGAGAGAGGUGAGUGGAAUUCCAAGUGUAGAGGUGAAAUUCGUAGAUAUUUGGAGGAACACCAGUGGCGAAGGCGGCUCACUGGCUCGAUACUGACGCUGAGGUGCGAAAGUGUGGGGAGCAAACAGGAUUAGAUACCCUGGUAG
rnacentral:rRNA from 1 species